rnacentral:piRNA from 1 species
GCUUUCAUGAGCGGAGCCACACUCCCAGCC